UACAGAGGCCCCAAGCAUUACCCGGCAUUAUUGGGCGUAAAGGGUGUCUAGGCGGCCAUAUUAGUCUCUCUUUAAAUCCGUGGGCUCAACCUACGGUCUGCGAGGGAAACGGUAUGGCUCGGGGGCGUAAGAGGUGCAUGGAACUCAUGGUGGAGGGGUGAAAUCCGUUGAUAUCAUGGGGAACACCAAAGGCGAAGGCAAUGCACUGGUACGUUUCUGACGCUCAAGCACGAAAGCCAGGGUAGCGAACGGG
rnacentral:rRNA from 1 species